AUAAGUUGUUUUUUUUUGAAAAAAAUAUAUCUGUUCUUAUCAGUUUAAUAUCUGCUACGUCCCCUAUCUGGGGACCAUAUAUUAAAUUGAUUUUUGGAACAGGGAGAUGGAAUAGGGGCUUGCUCCGUCCACUCCACGCAUCGACCUGGUAUUGCAGUACUUCCAGGAGCGGUGCACUUUCU
rnacentral:snRNA from 1 species